UAGCAAACUUUCGCAAAGGAAUGCAAGAGUGAGAGUCAAAAAAUGGAUUAUCUACUCCUUGAAUGUGACGUGAUUCCUCUGAAAUGCACUCAUAGAAGCGUGAAAGACAUUGAGGGAUGAACAGUAAUGGCAAUGAUGUGGGACAUUUGGAGUUUGGAAUAGUUGUUUAUUUAAAAUAUGAAGUUGGUUUGCUGAUUGUUCAAACCAUACGGAUAAAAAAAGACAAUACAGUUCAAGUUAAAAAUCAGUCAAUUAAUCCAUUUAAAUGUUCCGUUUUUAGCAAUUAAUUAGAGCUGCAGGUAGAUUUGACUUCAUUAGUAUGUAAGAUAUAAUGCGUUUUGAUGUUCCCAUGGCAAAAGCGAUAUAUUUUCGCAAAGAUUAUCACUAUGCACUGACCAUGCAGGCGUAAUGAUCACAAACAAAUACUCCUAAGCAUUUAACAAAGUCUAUAUUAUAGAUUGUCGAACUCUUCAA